UACGUAGGGUGCAAGCGUUGUCCGGAAUUAUUGGGCGUAAAGAGCGUGUAGGCGGCCCGAUUAGUCCGCUGUGAAAGUCCAGGGCUCAACCCUGGAAUGCCGGUGGAUACUGUCGGGCUAGAGUCCGGAAGGGGCGAGUGGAAUUCCUGGUGUAGCGGUGAAAUGCGCAGAGAUCGGGAGGAACACCCGUAGCGAAGGCGGCACUCUGGGCCGGUACUGACGCUGAGGAGCGAAAGCGUGGGGAGCAAACAGG
rnacentral:rRNA from 1 species